AGUCGAGCGGAUGAAGAGAGCUUGCUCUCUGAUUCAGCGGCGGACGGGUGAGUAAUGCCUAGGAAUCUGCCUGGUAGUGGGGGACAACGUCUCGAAAGGGACGCUAAUACCGCAUACGUCCUACGGGAGAAAGCAGGGGACCUUCGGGCCUUGCGCUAUCAGAUGAGCCUAGGUCGGAUUAGCUAGUUGGUGAGGUAAUGGCUCACCAAGGCGACGAUCCGUAACUGGUCUGAGAGGAUGAUCAGUCACACUGGAACUGAGACACGGUCCAGACUCCUACGGGAGGCAGCAGUGGGGAAUAUUGGACAAUGGGCGAAAGCCUGAUCCAGCCAUGCCGCGUGUGUGAAGAAGGUCUUCGGAUUGUAAAGCACUUUAAGUUGGGAGGAAGGGCAGUAAGCGAAUACCUUGCUGUUUUGACGUUACCGACAGAAUAAGCACCGGCUAACUCUGUGCCAGCAGCCGCGGUAAUACAGAGGGUGCAAGCGUUAAUCGGAAUUACUGGGCGUAAAGCGCGCGUAGGUGGUUUGUUAAGUUGAAUGUGAAAUCCCCGGGCUCAACCUGGGAACUGCAUCCAAAACUGGCAAGCUAGAGUAGGGCAGAGGGUGGUGGAAUUUCCUGUGUAGCGGUGAAAUGCGUAGAUAUAGGAAGGAACACCAGUGGCGAAGGCGACCACCUGGGCUCAUACUGACACUGAGGUGCGAAAGUGUGGGGAGCAAACAGGAUUAGAUACCCUGGUAGUCCACGCCGUAAACGAUGUCAACUAGCCGUUGGAAGCCUUGAGCUUUUAGUGGCGCAGCUAACGCAUUAAGUUGACCGCCUGGGGAGUACGGCCGCAAGGUUAAAACUCAAAUGAAUUGAC
rnacentral:rRNA from 1 species